UACGUAGGGGGGCUAGCGUUGUCCGGAAUCAUUGGGCGUAAAGCGCGUGUAGGCGGUCCGGUAAGUCCGCUGUGAAAGUCGGGGGCUCAACCCUCGGAUGCCGGUGGAUACUGUCGGGCUUGAGUACGGAAGAGGCGAGUGGAAUCCUGGUGUAGCGGUGAAAUGCGCAGAUAUCAGGAGGAACACCAAUUGCGAAGGCAGCUCGCUGGGACGUUACUGACGCUGAGACGCGAAAGCGUGGGGAGCAAACAGG
rnacentral:rRNA from 1 species